UACAGAGGUCUCAAGCGUUGUUCGGAUUCAUUGGGCGUAAAGGGUGCGUAGGCGGCGCGGUAAGUCGGGCGUGAAAUCCCGGAGCUUAACUCCGAAACUGCAUUCGAUACUGCCGUGCUUGAGGACUGGAGAGGAGACUGGAAUUUACGGUGUAGCGGUGAAAUGCGUAGAUAUCGUAAGGAAGACCAGUGGCGAAGGCGGGUCUCUGGACAGUUCCUGACGCUGAGGCACGAAGGCCAGGGGAGCAAACAGG
rnacentral:rRNA from 1 species